GGGCACUCCUUCGGGGGUGUUCCUAGUGGCGAACGGGUGAGUAACACGUGGGCAACCUGCCCCCGGCUCUGGGAUAACUCCAAGAAAUUGGGGCUAAUACCGGAUAUUCACGGCUUACCGCAUGGUGGGUGGUGGAAAGGGUUUCCGGCUGGGGAUGGGCCCGCGGCCUAUCAGCUUGUUGGUGGGGUAGUGGCCUACCAGGGAGACGACGGGUAGCCGGCCUGAGAGGGUGACCGGCCACACUGGGACUGAGACACGGGCCAGACUCCUACGGGAGGCAGCAUCUUGCGGAAAACUCG
rnacentral:misc_RNA from 1 species